UGUGUACUCCCUCCGUUCCAAAAUACUUGACUUCCAUUUGUCCAAAAAUGGAUGUGCCUAUAUACUAAAACAUGUCUAGAUACAUAUAUAUUUUGACAAAUAGAAGGCAUGUAUUGUGCAACGGAGGGAGUAGAAU
rfam:Triticum aestivum genome assembly, contig: Triticum_aestivum_CS42_TGACv1_scaffold_333396_4BS